UUAUAUGUCUUUUUCUUAUUUUUUACAUUUUUCAUUUACGAAUUUAAAUUUUUGAUAUUUUUCAGGAAACCACGAAAAAAAUGUGAAAUUUUGAUAUACUAUCCAUAUCGAUAUUCUAAGAUGAAUGGUGCGAUUCGAGAAUUUUUUGACGUACUUUUAUGUGUUUUUCUUCAUUUUUAUAUUUCUCGGACGUUUACGAAUUAAAAUUCUUGAAAUACUUCGA
rnacentral:lncRNA from 1 species